GCGGACGGGUGAGUAACACGUGGGUAACCUGCCUGUAAGACUGGGAUAACUCCGGGAAACCGGAGCUAAUACCGGAUAGUUCCUUGAACCGCAUGGUUCAAGGAUGAAAGACGGUUUCGGCUGUCACUUACAGAUGGACCCGCGGCGCAUUAGCUAGUUGGUGGGGUAAUGGCUCACCAAGGCGACGAUGCGUAGCCGACCUGAGAGGGUGAUCGGCCACACUGGGACUGAGACACGGCCCAGACUCCUACGGGAGGCAGCAGUAGGGAAUCUUCCGCAAUGGACGAAAGUCUGACGGAGCAACGCCGCGUGAGUGAUGAAGGUUUUCGGAUCGUAAAGCUCUGUUGUUAGGGAAGAACAAGUGCGAGAGUAACUGCUCGCACCUUGACGGUACCUAACCAGAAAGCCACGGCUAACUACGUGCCAGCAGCCGCGGUAAUACGUAGGUGGCAAGCGUUGUCCGGAAUUAUUGGGCGUAAAGGGCUCGCAGGCGGUUUCUUAAGUCUGAUGUGAAAGCCCCCGGCUCAACCGGGGAGGGUCAUUGGAAACUGGGAAACUUGAGUGCAGAAGAGGAGAGUGGAAUUCCACGUGUAGCGGUGAAAUGCGUAGAGAUGUGGAGGAACACCAGUGGCGAAGGCGACUCUCUGGUCUGUAACUGACGCUGAGGAGCGAAAGCGUGGGGAGCGAACAGGAUUAGAUACCCUGGUAGUCCACGCCGUAAACGAUGAGUGCUAAGUGUUAGGGGGUUUCCGCCCCUUAGUGCUGCAGCUAACGCAUUAAGCACUCCGCCUGGGGAGUACGGUCGCAAGACUGAAACUCAAAGGAAUUGACGGGGGCCCGCACAAGCGGUGGAGCAUGUGGUUUAAUUCGAAGCAACGCGAAGAACCUUACCAGGUCUUGACAUCCUCUGACAACCCUAGAGAUAGGGCUUUCCCUUCGGGGACAGAGUGACAGGUGGUGCAUGGUUGUCGUCAGCUCGUGUCGUGAGAUGUUGGGUUAAGUCCCGCAACGAGCGCAACCCUUGAUCUUAGUUGCCAGCAUUCAGUUGGGCACUCUAAGGUGACUGCCGGUGACAAACCGGAGGAAGGUGGGGAUGACGUCAAAUCAUCAUGCCCCUUAUGACCUGGGCUACACACGUGCUACAAUGGACAGAACAAAGGGCUGCAAGACCGCAAGGUUUAGCCAAUCCCAUAAAUCUGUUCUCAGUUCGGAUCGCAGUCUGCAACUCGA
rnacentral:rRNA from 1 species